AGGUCUGCGUGAGCGCGCGAUGUUUGAAGAGACCUGAGACCGGUUGAUGAUGCACGCGAUGGAUUUGGAAAACAUCAUGAAACGGUGUUCAUGGAGUUCUACAGGAUUGUGGGCAAGAAUCUCAAGCAAUCAUCUAAUUGAGAUAUUUCAGUCUAAAGAGGGAAUGUUGGGCAGCUGUUGACCUCUUUCACAACAAAUCAAGACUAAAGAGCCGACUGAUACUAGGUUUCUGGUGCUCAGAGGGCUCCCUUUUGCCCUUUGUGACAACCCUACAGAUUUCUACAAAGUAUGCUUUGACUCUGAUGACGAUUACUCAUUCCACCACCUGGACAUUGGAAUCAUCCUCAUUGAGCAUGAAGGUGAUGUGCUCUCAUCCUCUCUCCGUCUCAAUCCAGCCUCAUUGAAGAUCAUCAUUGAAGGAGAUUUUGUGAUGGACAGUAUUGAAGACUUGUCAAAAGCUGUGCAUUCUGUAUGGACUUACGCACUGCAUCUCAACUAUCCUAAAUCUAUGAAGAACACCUUCCAGAUCAUCCAACAGGCUCUCUUUAGGAUAGAUACAACAUCAGUGGGUCGCUCUUGGCAAAAGAACAAGUUAAUAUGUUCUCUCUGUCACAUGCAGGUAUGUACACAAGAGGUUAAACAGGCAGUCAUGACAGGGAAAGCGCUGGGAAUGACAGCUGAUAUUUAUUAGUUUCAAAUAUAUUACAAAGAGGCAGUUCUUAUUUCAUGUCUAUUGCUACGCGUGGCCAAGACCUGACCAAAACCCUUCCCUCAAGCAACGCUUACCCUUUAAAACGUUAUUGAAAACACCUAUGAUAAAGCCUGGACCACACCCAAAACUGUUUCUGAAGAAUAAGAACCUCCUGGGAAGACAAGUGGGGGGGUCUCGAUCAAUCCCAAGUAUAUUACCUCUUUAAACAUGAGUUCCUGGUUAACAUAUUUUAGGAUUGCCUGACAAACACAUUGAAAUAGAUUUGUCACUCAGCAUAAACAAGAGAAGUCAUUAUAUGAAAGUACUGCUUGCGUCUACAACCGGUCACGAAAAAAGACAGUUUUACAAAACUUUUUCAAUAGUGAACUGUCACUUUAAAUUAUUUGAUCAACAAGAAAUUACAUUAUUUGAGUUAUCCAGAGAGCCAUUUUUUCUAUGAUUUACAAGAUAUACUUUCCAUCAUUACCACAUAAAACAAACAGACUCUUCAUAUUGUUGACUGUUCAGUGGUAAUGAUAAGAGGGCAUUUUGGUUUUUCAUUCUGUUCAGGAUUUUCUAACAUUUUUCAAUUUAGUUUGAGCACUCUGGAACACUCUUUUUGUGACAGCAAAUUUAAAAUCACUACAAUGAAGAGUACUGGGUAGUAUGAAGAGUAAGGUAUGUAUUUGCAUAUUGUAGCAUAUGCUUACAAGCACACACACACACACACUGACAACCUAAGGACUGUUCAUAAUAUAGCUAACUUAUCAUUCAUAUGUCAUGUUCAGCAGUGGCAGACGUGUGUCUGUACCUGUAUAUGUAUAUAUAAGCAAUGCACUAUUUGACUUCAUCUUCUCCAAAAAAAAUUGUACUUAAAAAUAUUCAAACUCUUUAGCAGUAUUUGUACCUUGUUUUAAAUGAACGGUGUCUAAUCUUAGCAAAGAACGUUGACAUGCCAAAAAAAAAAAAAAAACGUACAAAAAAGAAAAAUUAAUUAGAAGGAAGAAAGUUGACAGUAUUUUCAAUGACAGUAAUAGUAUUUACUGUCUUUUUUUUUUCCCAAAGAAUUGCAAAUUUAUGUCACAAUACUGUCUUUAUAACAUGCAGUUGCGAGUUAUAAAGUAAAAAAUAUGAAAUAUAAGCUUGCAAUUGUAAGAAUGUUUUAUUUUUUGAAGAAAAAGAAUUUGUAAUAUUGUAACAAAAAAUGUUUCCUCGCAAUUUGACUUUAGAACUGACAAUUGCAAAUUUAUAUCUCACAAUAACGAGAAAAGAAGUCAGAAUUGCAUGAUAUAAACUCACAAUUGCGUGUAAAUAAGAGUUGCGAGAUACAAAUUUGCAAUUGUGAGAGAUUCAGAAUUCUCAGAAUCUUUUGAAAAAACUGAAUUAUGAGAAAAAGGGCAGAAAUCUGAGUUUAUAUCUUGCAAUUCUGUUUUUUUUUUUCAGUCACUAAUACAAAAUUAAAAGUAUAGCCUAAUUGCGACUUUUUACAGUGAGUUUACAGUUGGCCUGUAUCUCGCAAUUCUGAGAAUUCUCGGAAUUGUGAGAAAAAGUCAGAAUUUUGAGAUUUAUAAAAAGUCGUGAUUACCUUUUUUUCCAUGUUGGAAACAAGCUUCCAUACAAAAAGUGA